UACGUAGGGUGCGAGCGUUAAUCGGAAUUACUGGGCGUAAAGCGUGCGUAGGCGGUUCCUCAAGUCCGUUGUGAAAGCCCCGGGCUCAACCUGGGAAUUGCGAUGGAGACUGCAAGGCUAGAGUGUGUCAGAGGGGGGUAGAAUUCCACGUGUAGCAGUGAAAUGCGUAGAUAUGUGGAGGAACACCGAUGGCGAAGGCAGCCCCCUGGGAUAACACUGACGCUCAUGCACGAAAGCGUGGGGAGCAAACAGG
rnacentral:rRNA from 1 species